GAUGAACGCUAGCGGCAGGCUUAACACAUGCAAGUCGAGGGGUAGUCUAGCAAUAGAUGAGACCGGCGCACGGGUGCGUAACGCGUAUGCAACCUACCUUUUACAGAGGGAUAGCCCAGAGAAAUUUGGAUUAAUACCUCAUAGUAUAUAACCUUCGCAUGUUGGUUAUAUUAAAGUUCCAACGGUAAAAGAUGGGCAUGCGUCCUAUUAGCUAGAUGGUAAGGUAACGGCUUACCAUGGCUACGAUAGGUAGGGGUCCUGAGAGGGAGAUCCCCCACACUGGUACUGAGACACGGACCAGACUCCUACGGGAGGCAGCAGUGAGGAAUAUUGGACAAUGGGCGCAAGCCUGAUCCAGCCAUGCCGCGUGCAGGAAGAAGCAUCUAUGGUGUGUAAACUGCUUUUGUACGGGAAGAAACACCCCUUCGUGAAGGGACUUGACGGUACCGUAAGAAUAAGGAUCGGCUAACUCCGUGCCAGCCGCCGCAGUAAGAC
rnacentral:rRNA from 1 species